UACGUAGGGUGCGAGCGUUAAUCGGAAUUACUGGGCGUAAAGCGUGCGCAGGCGGUUUUGUAAGCCAGAUGUGAAAGCCCCGGGCUUAACCUGGGAAUGGCAUUUGGGACUGCAAGGCUUGAGUGCGGCAGAGGAGUCUGGAAUUCCUGGUGUAGCGGUGAAAUGCGCAGAUAUCAGGAGGAACACCGGUGGCGAAGGCGGGACUCUGGGCCGAUACUGACGCUGAGGAGCGAAAGCGUGGGGAGCAAACAGG
rnacentral:rRNA from 1 species